AGGCAGCCUGCCAUCUAGCUUUUUCACAGAAAAACAGGCUUGCAGACUGCAGAUGAGAGUCUGGAGCAGAGACAAUUUUAACUUAGCCAUUCCUAAUUUAUCUCAAGCGUUUUCAAUUCAUCUUCACUGCUCUAUGCACACAGGAACACCAGAUUGCCAUCCCUGGGGAACAGAAUGCAACCCGGGAUCUAGAGAGCUGUCACAUUCCAAGAAAUAUUUAAAUUGUGCUGAUUUUCUUCUGGAGAACUGAGCCCAGGGAAUGAAACUCUCCAUCAAGUCAUAGCUUUGCGGGCAAUAGAUCAGAGGAUAUUGCCAGUUUUCUAAUGGAUUAUUGUUAUCGGGCAGGUUUUCUCUGAAGCUUAUCAGCUGCUGUUACAUCUUCUUGUAUGGAGAGUUUCUGCUUGUCUCCAUCAUCGUAGACCAAUAUCCAGAGGCUCAUACCUCCUCCUGAAGAAGUACAGAAGUUCAUUUCUCAGCAUGGGAUUUCAAGAGCUCUUUAGCAUCUAUCUUUUCACCAAGCUCUUCAAAGUUAACAUCCCUAUUCAAGAAUAAUUUUCAUUCCAUCCUCAACCACCUUUACAAAGCCUUUUUAAAUCAACCAUAAAUUGUGGCAUUAGUUUUUUAUUAUAUGGUGCUGAUAAUAAGUAAAUAAAUAAAUAAAACAUUUUUAUCAUGUCUGCUCAGUAAGUUGUAAAACCUUUUAUAUGUCAAAAUAAUAUUUUAAAAAAUCUUUCAGUUAGACUUCUUGUUUGAUUUCUGCACCCUAGACCAGGUUUUGAAUAAGCAAUAAAUAAUGUCUUAGCAACUAUGGUCACCUUAUGAACUAUAAACUCAUGGUCCAUGGGUUGCAAGAGCAGUGUCAUAUGUGGAGGGAA